rnacentral:lncRNA from 1 species
GAAGGAAGGGGAAACGCCUUCAUGUCAGCAAUGAGGGUGACUCUAGUGACGGAACUAGUCUUGGGUCCCUGGGGCACCACUAGCCUCUCGGCAUCGGUGGUUUCUCCUUACUCUUCAGACGCUGCCAACUCCAUCCCCCAGGGAUUGUGAAGGGGGUUCCUUCUGGCUGUGACAGUGCUGAACGAGGCCAGAGAGUGCAGCUGCCUGGAGGCACAAGCCUCCUCCUGAUCCAGGGGGCUCCAGGGAGACCAAAGCAGCUGUCAAGAUGAGAGAAAUUGAAAAAGAAAAUGGAAAACUCUCCAGCCUGGCUCUCAGCUUCUGCAUCUCCAUGCAAGACCAGAGACCCACAUCACUCCCUCACUCCACCCAGUUCCACUCCAACAAUACCUGGGCCCUGCCAGGAGUGAGAAAACGGUCCUCUUCCUGUGGAUAGGUUGCUCUCUCCUCUUCCAGAUCAGGGUAUUCAUUGGUGCUGGGGAAUCCACAGCCCUCUUCGCCAAGCACCACUGGCUCAGAUGCAGCCCCAGAGCUGCCCCACUGGGCCUUCUUCAGUCUGUGGAGACUUUAGGCUGAGGAGAGAAGUGCCUGGAGGCCAGGCUUCCUGUCUCUCCAUUCUUCACCUUUCUGUUCUGAAAUACUUCCUGCUGGGACUCCAGGGAGUUGUCAUUUGACCUUUAACCCUCCACUCCCAAUUUUCUGCUCCCCUCAGACUGAAGCAUAUUGUCUAGGAACCCAGAGGUGACCCCAACCUCCCCACUGUCCUCCAGUUCUAUGGUUUGCUUUCCUGUCUUCAGUGAUCUAGUUUCCACUCCUUCCAGCUCAUGUGGCUCAUCCUCCUUACUGCAGUUCCCUCCUUCUUUCCAUAUUACAGAAAUCUGUUUCAAUCACACCAAAGCCCACAGCUUCCUUCCAAGCAACCUCCCCUCAAAGCUCCCCUCAAACCUCCCCUCAAAGCUGUCAACCCCUUCCUUAGCUCAAACUGUUCUGCCCCCAAAUCCUGCAUGACUCCCAGAACCCAGAUGUCUCCCUUCCUUACUCGUUGAUGAUGCUCUGACGCCUUCUUAGGUCCUCCAGGUGGUAAGUGACAGCCCUCACCCGGGCGGGGACUCCCCCAAGGCCCUGCUGCUGCAUUCCUUCCAAACAUGGCCUCCUCUUCUUUCUUCUCCAAAGCAUUUCAGGGGGUGGGAGCUGCUCAGGAGGAUACAGACCAAGCUGGGAGCAACCAGUGGCUCUCUGUGCCAGAGAAUGGGGAAAAAGAGCUAGAAAGAAGAACUGGCUCUCUCAAGGGAGCUUGGAUUGAACUAGGUAGGGAGUCUGGGGUCUUGGGAAGACCCCUGUGAUCUCGAAAACAUGAUGACUGAUUCAUAGAAAGGAAGGCCUGGUCAGUGCACUGGUUGGGGAAUAACAGAGGGAAGCGGUAAUAAGGAGAGCUUGGGACAGGACAGCAGUGGGUGCAAUUUUAACAGAGAAAUGUUAAACGGCAGAGGGUCUGUCUUACCAGCAUGGGUGGAAUGUGCUGCUCCUCCAGCCAAGUGGGGCUGUGAAGAACAAAAAGGGGGCUAUAAGUGCAGAGGGGACAUGUCCAUCCAUAUUGCUUCUUUAAUAAUCUCUCCCGACCUCCUUUCUGUCAUUAGGAGCUACAAUGUCCACCAGCCAGUGGGAAAUUAACCGCAGACUAGGGCCUAUUGCUAUAUGGGUUUAUGGUAGUUUAAUCCAGUUAAGACCACAUCCAGUUAGUUUCCAUUUUCUCCUCUACUCACGUGGGCCUUUGAUUAAGGUUCUUCCAGAAGACAUCUCCAUAACGCUGGGGCAUGGGUCUGAGGCUCUGGGAAGGCAACCUUGGGGGUGGAGAUCGGCUGACCACCCUGGAACACCUGAGGUGAGGACAAGGACUAAUAUCCUUGUAAAUAGGAGUGUGCAGAGCUGUUUGAGAACACUGCUCGUCACUUCCAAACCCCACAGGCUGAAUGAUGAUUGCCCUCCUGAUCUCUAAGAAAUGGAGUAUGUUAGGGCUUAGGCCUGGGGCCCUUUAUCUUCUCUGUCUUCAUCUCUUCUUAGGUGAUCUCACCCAGUACCAUGCUGUCAAUAAGCUGAUGACUCCCAAAUCUAUAUAUCCAGCCCUGGUUCCUCUCUGGGCUCCACUCAACAUCUCCUCCCCAACCUUCCUCCUCUCAAUGAAAAGCACUCAAAUGCCCAGUUGCUAAGACCAAAAACAUGGUAUGUCUCACUUUCCCUCACCUCCCACAUCUAAUCCAUCAGCAGUUCCUGUCAGUUUUACAUCUAAAAUACUGUGUACCUGAAUUUGACCACUCCUCAUCAUUCCCACUCCUACCACCAUAUAUUUCAGGUCAUCUUCCCCUUCCUGGACUGUUGCAAUGGUCUCUUCCCCCCGUCUCUGCUUCCAUUCCCAUCCCCCAACAAUAUAUUCUGCACAGAACUGUGAGAGAUGAUCAUACGAAAUAAUAUAAGGUUUGAGAUGUACUUCAAAAGAAUUUGAGAAAUAGGGGGCUAGAUGGGUAUAGAGAUGAAAAGAUUAUCCAUACAAUGAUAAUUAUUGAAGCUGACUGAAAAGGGUACAUGGGGUUCAUGAUACUAUUUUCUCUACUGUGUUUGUUUGAAAUUUUCCAUAAUAAAAAAAGUUGAAGGAAAAAAGGCUGGUCAUGUCACUCUCUGCCUUAAAACUUUUCCACUGAAUAAAAUCCAAACCGUUUUUUUUCUUCUUCUUUUUUGAGACAGUCUCACUCUGUCACCCAGGCUGGAGUGCAGUGACCCAAUUAUAGCUCACUGCAGCCUCAAAUUCCUGGGCUCAAGCAAUCCUCCUGCCUCAGCCUCCUGAGUGCUGGGACUACAGGCGUGUGCCACCAUGCCUGGCUAAUUCUUUUAAAUGUUUAUCAGAGAUGAGGUCUCACUAUGUUGCCCAGGUUGGUCUCCAAUUCCUGAGCUCAAGCAAUCCUCCCACCUUGGCCUCCCAAAGUGCUGUAAUUACAGGUGUGAGCCACCGCACCCGGCCUAUACUUGUUUUAUUUAUUUUUU